rnacentral:rRNA from 1 species
UACGUAGGGUGCAAGCGUUGUCCGGAAUUAUUGGGCGUAAAGAGCUCGUAGGCGGUCUGUUGCGUCGGCUGUGAAAACCCGGGGCUCAACCCCGGGCCUGCAGCCGAUACGAGCAGACUAGAGUUCGGCAGGGGAGACUGGAAUUCCUGGUGUAGCGGUGAAAUGCGCAGAUAUCAGGAGGAACACCGGUGGCGAAGGCGGGUCUCUGGGCCGACACUGACACUGAGGAGCGAAAGCCAGGGGAGCAAACGGG